rnacentral:rRNA from 1 species
GGGUUGUGAGGUUAAGCGACUAAGCGUACACGGUGGAUGCCCUGGCAGUCAGAGGCGAUGAAGGACGUGCUAAUCUGCGAUAAGCGCCGGUAAGGUGAUAUGAACCGUUAUAACCGGCGAUUUCCGAAUGGGGAAACCCAGUGUGAUUCGUCACACUAUCAUUAACUGAAUCCAUAGGUUAAUGAGGCGAACCGGGGGAACUGAAACAUCUAAGUACCCCGAGGAAAAGAAAUCAACCGAGAUUCCCCCAGUAGCGGCGAGCGAACGGGGAGGAGCCCAGAGCCUGAAUCAGCAUGUGUGUUAGUGGAAGCGUCUGGAAAGGCGCGCGAUACAGGGUGACAGCCCCGUACACAAAAGCGCAUGUGCUGUGAGCUCGAUGAGUAGGGCGGGACACGUGGUAUCCUGUCUGAAUAUGGGGGGACCAUCCUCCAAGGCUAAAUACUCCUGACUGACCGAUAGUGAACCAGUACCGUGAGGGAAAGGCGAAAAGAACCCCGGCGAGGGGAGUGAAAAAGAACCUGAAACCGUGUACGUACAAGCAGUGGGAGCACAGGUUUACCUGUGUGACUGCGUACCUUUUGUAUAAUGGGUCAGCGACUUAUAUUCUGUAGCAAGGUUAACCGAAUAGGGGAGCCGGAGGGAAACCGAGUCUUAAUUGGGCGUUAAGUUGCAGGGUAUAGACCCGAAACCCGGUGAUCUAGCCAUGGGCAGGUUGAAGGUUGGGUAACACUAACUGGAGGACCGAACCGACUAAUGUUGAAAAAUUAGCGGAUGACCUGUGGCUGGGGGUGAAAGGCCAAUCAAACCGGGAGAUAGCUGGUUCUCCCCGAAAGCUAUUUAGGUAGCGCCUCGUGAAUUCAUCUCCGGGGGUAGAGCACUGUUUCGGCUAGGGGGCCAUCCCGGCUUACCAACCCGAUGCAAACUGCGAAUACCGGAGAAUGUUAUCACGGGAGACACACGGCGGGUGCUAACGUCCGUCGUGAAGAGGGAAACAACCCAGACCGCCAGCUAAGGUCCCAAAGUCAUGGUUAAGUGGGAAACGAUGUGGGAAGGCCCAGACAGCCAGGAUGUUGGCUUAGAAGCAGCCAUCAUUUAAAGAAAGCGUAAUAGCUCACUGGUCGAGUCGGCCUGCGCGGAAGAUGUAACGGGGCUAAACCAUGCACCGAAGCUGCGGCAGCGACGCUGAUGCGUUGUUGGGUAGGGGAGCGUUCUGUAAGCCUGCGAAGGUGGCCUGUGAGGGUUGCUGGAGGUAUCAGAAGUGCGAAUGCUGACAUAAGUAACGAUAAAGCGGGUGAAAAGCCCGCUCGCCGGAAGACCAAGGGUUCCUGUCCAACGUUAAUCGGGGCAGGGUGAGUCGACCCCUAAGGCGAGGCCGAAAGGCGUAGUCGAUGGGAAACGGGUUAAUAUUCCCGUACUUGGUGUUACUGCGAAGGGGGGACGGAGAAGGCUAUGUUGGCCGGGCGACGGUUGUCCCGGUUUAAGCGUGUAGGUGUGUGUUCCAGGUAAAUCCGGUUCACUUUAACACUGAGGCGUGAUGACGAGGCACUACGGUGCUGAAGCAACAAAUGCCCUGCUUCCAGGAAAAGCCUCUAAGCAUCAGGUAACAUCAAAUCGUACCCCAAACCGACACAGGUGGUCAGGUAGAGAAUACCAAGGCGCUUGAGAGAACUCGGGUGAAGGAACUAGGCAAAAUGGUGCCGUAACUUCGGGAGAAGGCACGCUGACACGUAGGUGAAGUGAUUUACUCAUGGAGCUGAAGUCAGUCGAAGAUACCAGCUGGCUGCAACUGUUUAUUAAAAACACAGCACUGUGCAAACACGAAAGUGGACGUAUACGGUGUGACGCCUGCCCGGUGCCGGAAGGUUAAUUGAUGGGGUCAGCGCAAGCGAAGCUCCUGAUCGAAGCCCCGGUAAACGGCGGCCGUAACUAUAACGGUCCUAAGGUAGCGAAAUUCCUUGUCGGGUAAGUUCCGACCUGCACGAAUGGCGUAAUGAUGGCCAGGCUGUCUCCACCCGAGACUCAGUGAAAUUGAACUCGCUGUGAAGAUGCAGUGUACCCGCGGCAAGACGGAAAGACCCCGUGAACCUUUACUAUAGCUUGACACUGAACAUUGAGCCUUGAUGUGUAGGAUAGGUGGGAGGCUUUGAAGUGUGGACGCCAGUCUGCAUGGAGCCGACCUUGAAAUACCACCCUUUAAUGUUUGAUGUUCUAACGUGGACCCGUUACCCGGGUUGCGGACAGUGUCUGGUGGGUAGUUUGACUGGGGCGGUCUCCUCCUAAAGAGUAACGGAGGAGCACGAAGGUUGGCUAAUCCUGGUCGGACAUCAGGAGGUUAGUGCAAUGGCAUAAGCCAGCUUGACUGCGAGCGUGACGGCGCGAGCAGGUGCGAAAGCAGGUCAUAGUGAUCCGGUGGUUCUGAAUGGAAGGGCCAUCGCUCAACGGAUAAAAGGUACUCCGGGGAUAACAGGCUGAGACCGCCCAAGAGUUCAUAUCGACGGCGGUGUUUGGCACCUCGAUGUCGGCUCAUCACAUCCUGGGGCUGAAGUAGGUCCCAAGGGUAUGGCUGUUCGCCAUUUAAAGUGGUACGCGAGCUGGGUUUAGAACGUCGUGAGACAGUUCGGUCCCUAUCUGCCGUGGGCGCUGGAGAACUGAGGGGGGCUGCUCCUAGUACGAGAGGACCGGAGUGGACGCAUCACUGGUGUUCGGGUUGUCAUGCCAAUGGCACUGCCCGGUAGCUAAAUGCGGAAGAGAUAAGUGCUGAAAGCAUCUAAGCACGAAACUUGCCCCGAGAUGAGUUCUCCCUGAGACUUUAAGUCUCCUGAAGGAACGUUGAAGACGACGACGUUGAUAGGCCGGGUGUGUAAGCGCAGCGAUGCGUUGAGCUAACCGGUACUAAUGAACCGUGAGGCUUAACCUUACAACGCCGAAG